AAUCCAGCCUGUCCAGAUCCCUCUGCAGAGCCUUUCUUCCCUCCAGCAGAUCAAGACUCCUGCCGAGCAUGGUGUCAUUUACAAGUUUAUUGGGUGUGCACUUGAUCUCCUUGUUUAGAUCAUCAGUACAGGAACCAGCUCUAACUGCUUGGCUACUUCCUGGGAGUAAUGAUCAAACCAGCAGAUGUGCUUGUACAAGAGAUAGAUUUGGUGUCUUCCUUCACUGAAAAUGUCUGUGUUGGUCUGGAUAUACACUCCUAUGCAUCACAGCCUUCUGGGCAGAACUGAGUUUGAAAAUAUAAAAGUGUUGUGUAUUAGGAAGAUAUUUUUCUGUUUGAACAGGGGGUCAGAAACACAUCAGAAGCUUCUACCAGCUUAUGCUCUUUAUGCAGGGUCUUAUUCAGCGUGAUUUAAUUUACAGGGUCUCAGUUUCCUUCAUCAUCACCAACUAUUUAUAUUUAUGCUGUAAAGAACAAACUGGAAAAUUUAUCUUUUGUCACAGAAAUCUUGACAGUGGGCAGGCAACUGCACACCAAGAAUCCUUUCUGACAGCCUGAUAUUGCUAUUUCACUCUACCAUGUGUUGUCUCUCUCCUAAUUUAUAUGUUGUUUAUCUGUUUGAGACAGAGCCUUUUGUUUUUAUACAGUAUCUAACAAAACAAGGUGAUGGUCACACUGAAAACAGAGGCACUGUCUGAUUGGAGAAAGGGGAAAAAAAAAUUAAUUGGUACUGCUUUGCAGGGAUUGCAUCUGACUUCCCAAUGACUCAAUUCAUUAGGAAAUGAGACACUAUGAAUACACACACAGUUGGAUUACUAGAGGAUGGGUUAGCAGCUAGGUGUGUACCAAAGAUUCAUCCUGGCUCUGGAUCAUAGCAGCUGAGCCUGAUUUAUUAUCACUAAGUCAGACGCCAAGAGAUGUUUCUGAUAUACUGGGAGCUGGAGGCAUGCAGAGGAGUGAAGAAAUAGCAUUAUGCUUCUCAAGAUAUGUUGUGUGUGAAUGUAUUUGUGGGUUGCCUUUGUGCAUUCUGGUUGCAGAGAGGUAUCUCUAUUGACAUAAAAUAUUCAGGGUAGAAUUGGACACUUAAAAGAUUGCUCUAAAUAUAUUUUAAAAGAAAGCAGCAGAGAAUCACUAGGGAAAGCAUUUGAUUUUUUCAGUCAUAAAAAUAGCAGAAAUUUCUCCUUUUCUCUAUCACUUUGUCCUGAAGUCAAUGCAGGGGUGUUCACACCCGUAUCCUUCCGUUUGUGAUGUCUGACACAGCCAUUAAUCACAGCUCAAAUGAAAAAAAAACAAACCAAAAACUACAAAUAAAAAACCAACCCAAACCACAAAGAUCCACAGGGGUUUUCUCCUGUGAUUUCUAAAGCCUUGUCAACACCCUGUGCAGUACUGCCAUCUGCACUGUAGAUUGUGUCUACAUGUGUCACUGUGCCAGUGACAGGGCAAAUGUACAUCAUCAGUGGUGCCACUGAAAAAGAAGGAAUUAGUGCACACCUGCAACAUAUUCUCAGUUAGGAAAGUAAAACCCUGAACACAACAAUAUGGUGGGGGAAAUGUUGAUCAGUUUUUUCAUGGAAAUGUGAUUUACAUGCCAAAUUCAUCUGGUGGCCAGCAUCACCCUUCCUCUCAGGAAGGAAGGCUUCAGAGUAUUUUUCAGAUUUGAUUAAUAAUUUAUUUGGCAUCUGGAAGUCACAGCAAAACAGCUCAUAUGGAAAGGGAGGGUGUAAAUUGCCUGCCUCUGCCAGGCACUACUUGGUUAUUAUUCACAGCUAGAAUACUAUUUGUAGAAUAUUUGUGUAUUUAAUAUUUUAAAGAGCACCUUUGGCACUUGGGUUGAUUUCAGCAUUCUCGAGGCUGUGCCUAUACUACAGAUAUUGUCAUCUGGAAGACGUGCUCUCAUUGCCAACUGAACCAGUGGAGGGUUUUAAUAUGCGAGGAAGCAGGCACUAGAAUAAGGGGAGAUUACUGUGAGCUCAGUGCAUUUUAAAUGAAGGAUGGCACCCGUGGAAGACAAGGGGAACCUUCCCAAGAUGAGUCUGCAGUGCACACAGUCUGCCUACUGUAAACAGGGCAUUGCUGGAGCUCAGGCCAGAGCACAUUAAAUGGAAGGAAGUUGCUUAUAGAUUUUACAGCUGUACAUGUGAUGUAUUUCUGUCUUUCUGCAUUUGUCACUCAGUGAUUACCUCAACCAGGUCAUGACAGCUCUCCUGACUGUCUUCUAGGAAUUCACCUGAUAGUAUAACAUAGUAUUUUAACCUACUCACAGUGCCAUGCUACUUACUUGCUGUAUGCUAUCUGCAGUAUUUCUGCUCAGAGUUGUAUUUCUAUUUACCAUCUGUGGGAGACCAAAGUGUUAGUGGUUAAUGAUUCAAACAAGGGGCCAUGUGGGAGGCAGCAGGUGCUUUGCUGAGGCCAGAUUUGCACCUCCCCAAAACCAAAACCCAAAGCCAAGGGAAGGAGGGGAGUUUUCUGAGUGUGGUGGCAAAACCUCUGGUCUGCCUAGGACAGAGUGGGGGAACAGACACCACCAGAGGCUGCAGGCUGGGUUUUGAACCAGGUAAGGGAAGAGGCCAGUAAGAAACAGGUCCUUCAGAGGCUGGACAGUGUUUUUGUCAUGCAAUGGAUGCAAAAUUACAAUUACACAGCUGGGUCAGUUCUAAAAUUUCCCCCUGUGCCCCUGGGAAGGUAUUGGGGCAUUCACAUGCAGGUCUCAGCGUGUUCACCCCUUCUGAUGGAGAAUAACUGGCUCAACUACACUGACUUGAGAGUGAGCUGUCAUGCCUUAGUGUCCUAAACCAUCAAAGAUCCCCAAAAUUAUCCCAGACUCAUUUCUGGGGUCUUCCACCAGACAACUGAGCAUGACCCACAGCAUUGCAGCAGUGUUAAACUGCCCACCCACCCUUGCCAGGGGAGGAACCCUAUCAUUCCCACCUGAUCUGAACAUAUAUUAACCCAUCAAACUUUGUGCUACCCAGGCUUCCCCCACUCCCAACAGAUCAAGACUGGGAGCAGCACCUCAACCAAAGGAUUUUGAAUUUGCAACAAUCAAGUCUCAUCACUGGAUGCACAGCUGCAGAGGUCUCUAUUCUCUUUUGAUACACAGAAGAGGAGCUCUGUAAGAAAACGCUGAUCUAACCUGAUGGAUACAAGCAUGGAUGUAAAGUAAUAGCUUCUCCCUGAGGAAAAGGACUUGGGGGCAUUGGUCGAUGUGAAGCUCAACAUGAGCCAGCAAUAUGCACUCACAACCCAGAAAGGCAAGUGUUUCCUGGUCUGCUCCAAGAGAUACAUGGCCAGCAGGGUGAGGAAGCUGAUAUUCCCUCUGCUCUACUCUCUGGAGAUCCCACCUGGAGUAUUGUAUCCAUCUCUGGUAUCACCAGCAUAAGGAAAACAUGGACCUGCUGGAGCAAAUCCAGAGCAUGGACACAAAAAUGAUCAGAGAAACAAAACUCUCUCCAAUGAGAAAUGGCUGAGAAAGUUGAGGCUGUUCACCUGGAGAAGAAAAGGCUCCAGGGAGACCUUCAAGCAGCCUCCCAGUACUCAAAUGGGGCUUACAGGAGAGAUAAAGAGGUACUUUUUGCAAAGACAUGUUAGGACAAAGGGUGAUGGCUCUAAUCUGAAUAGCAUAGGUUUCAAUCAGAUAUUAGAAGGAAAUUAUUUACUGUGUAAGUGGUGAGGCCCUAGCACAGAUUGCCUGGAGAAGCUGUGGAUGCCCCAUCUCUGAAAGUAAGUGUUCAAGGCCAGGUUGGAUGUGACUGAGCAAUUGGUCUAGUGGAAGGCAUCCCUGCCCAUGGCAGGAGUGUUGGAAAUAAAUUAUAUUUUAGGUCCCUACUAACCCAAGCCAUUCUAUGAUUCUUUGAGCUAAAACCAAGACACCAGGAAUGCUCAGUACAUCUUUGUUACCUUGUUAAACAUAUGGAUUUAAAUAAAAAAGGUUAUAGUAGCAACAGCCAAAAUCUUUAACAACUCUAUAGCUAUGAAAACAGGAGUUAGCAAGGGUAAAUAUGGCCAAGCAGAUGGCUUUUAUUUAGGAAACUAAAUGAGAUCCCUCCACAGUCCCUUUAUUAGCAUCAUUAUAUAAGUAAACAAGUAAUUAACAGAAAAUUACUGGAGUAAACAGUAAGCACCUGAGGAUAAAUUGCUCUAAGUGACAAAUAACCUUCACAGAGACACAUUAAAUUAAUUGAGGUGAUUGGGUUACUCAGACAGGCAAGAGGGGGGUGCUGGACUGUAAUUUUUGCUUGGGACAAAGGGGUUCUGACCCUGUUGCCCUGUGACUGUCCGUCAGACUGAAGUGUUUUCAGCAGUACUCACUGAAACUCACUGGUGAUAUUUGAAUAAGGUGCUUGUAUGAAACUUCUGAAGUUUUCAUAUGGGGCAAGUCUUGGUCCAUAUUGAGUAGCUGAUAAGUUGCUUGCUGCCCUUUCCAUCAGGGGCUCACUUGCUUUUGGCAACCUGCAGGAGGGAGACAGCACUAUGCAUGUCUGUGCCGGCUAAAGCGCCCCUGCAGAAAAACUCACAGAGCUUUUAAGCUCACAAACUGUUGC